AUGCUCUAUGCUUCAGAAGGACUGGACUCACUUGGAACACGCAGAGGUGGCAAAGUGCUCUUCUGGGGCAAGGAUAAAGUUUCCCGCCUACAGCCUCUUGCACAACCGUGUGUCCCCACUGGUCUGAUUCAAGUGCCACUUGCGCCACAGUCAUCCAGGACGGUGACAGCAGUGCCUGUCAGAGGCUCGCUCCCUUCUUUACCUGGUAGGGUAAGGUUGCACGACUGGUCCUGCCACGGAUGCCUCGGGGCGAAGAAUGGAGGAGCAAGGGCCCUUUUCUCUAAACAAGAGUCAGGCUAAGAAUCCUAAGUGGUGCCUUUUGCAUCAGCUCUGCAGGAGAGACAGGAAGAAGAAAAAGCAGGCAUUGGUUGAAUGACAAUGUUGGUUUUGAUGACAUAGGUAUCUUACAGAAAAUACAUCAUCUUGAACUGUGGUGUUGGAGAAGACUCUUGAGAGUCCCUUGGACUGCAAGGAGAUCCAACCAGUCCAUCCUAAAGGAAAUCAGUCCUGAAUAUUCAUUGGAAGGACUGAUCUUGAAGCUGAAACUCCAAUACUUUGGCCACCUGAUGCAAAGAACCGACUCAUUGGAAAAGACCCUGAUGCUGGGAAAGAUUGAAGGCGGGAGAAGGGGAAGACAAAGGAUGAGAUGGUUGGAUGGCAUCACCAACUCAAUGGACAUGAGUUUGAGCAAGCUCUGGGAGUUGACGAUGGACAGGGAGGCCUGGCGUGCUGCAGUCCGUGGGGUCGCAAAGAGAUGGACAUGACUGAAGAACUGAACUUAAUGAACUGAGCUGAACUGAUUUUUAAAGAUGGAAGGAGAUGGAAAGAGAAAUAGUAAUUCAAAGGGGAAAUAGAACAUAGUACAUUGAUAUUAGUGAGUGAAAUUGAUGACAGUUUCUCUGAAAUAGGAAUUUAAAAGUUUAGAUAUUCAAUAGCUGGUAAUUUAGCAUUCUGAAAGGUAGUCAUUUGGGAAAGAAAUACAUCUUAUUAUAUGAUCACAUCAAUAACCUAUACCAAAAUGUAAUAAUGGUAAUAAUUGCAAUCAGUCCUAACUUCCUGAAGGAAAUAGCAAGAGAAACAAAAGAUGAUCAUAUUUUAUAUUUGUAAAUAAUGUUACAAGUUCCAAGGGAUUUCACUUAAACGGUCUCAUUUAAUCCUCACACCAGUUUAAAAAAUAGGCUGCACAAUUUUUUUUUUUCAUUUUGCAGGUGGAGGAUUGAAGCCUAGACCAGCUUGGUGAUUUGCCGUGGGUUAAAAUCUGGGAAAUAACAAAACUAGGACUAGAACUCUUGGCUUUUGCUUCCUAGUUCUUUUUAAUUCUGAAGGAGUGAUCAUUCCUGAUUCCACAGUCUCGGUCACUGAAAACAGCCAUUAAUUUCCAGGGUUGAGUAACGCUUCUUCAUGCUUUGGUAUCAUUCACAGUACUUAUCCCUAGUGAAUGGAUACUGUGUGUGGUUGUCCCUUUCCAUGUACUGUUAACACAACAUGGGAAUCAACCUAAACAAUUCAGCUCACAGCUUUCCUUUGGGUUUGUCAAGGGCCUCAGUUCUCAGUCAUGGUUCAGCUGGCAGAUGACUGAACCAUCUGUACCAACUGAAAAGCAUCACUUCCACCUACUCCACCCUCUGACCCAGUUUCUACCAACAGCUGGCACCACAGCAGGCAAUUGCAUAUAUUGCAGUUUGCUUUCAACCUGUCACCCCCCCAAUCUCUCUUUCACACACACACAUACAUCCCUCACCACACACAGAUGUACACACACACACACACACAUACACACACAAACAUUCUAGGGGAAAAAUUUUGUAUUGCUUUUAUUACUUUGUUUAAAUAAAUAAAUAAAAUGAACCA
rnacentral:lncRNA from 1 species